rnacentral:tRNA from 1 species
GUUCCUUUAGCUUAACGGUAGAGCUGCUGUCUUCGGAACAGUAGAUAUUGGUUCGAUUCCAAUAAGGUGCU